rnacentral:rRNA from 1 species
GAUGAACGCUGGCGGCGUGCUUAACACAUGCAAGUCGAACGAAGCGCUUAAACGGAUUUCUUCGGAAUGAAGUUUUUGCGACUGAGUGGCGGACGGGUGAGUAACGCGUGGGUAACCUGCCUCAUACAGGGGGAUAACCGUUAGAAAUGACUGCUAAUACCGCAUAAGCGCACAGUGCUGCAUGGCACAGUGUGAAAAACUCCGGUGGUAUGAGAUGGACCCGCGUCUGAUUAGCUAGUUGGUGGGGUGAUGGCCUACCAAGGCGUCGACGGGUAGCCGGCCUGAGAGGGUGACCGGCCACAUUGGGACUGAGAUACGGCCCAG